CCUACGGGCGGCUGCAGUGGGGAAUAUUGCGCAAUGGGCGAAAGCCUGACGCAGCGACGCCGCGUGAGGGAUGAAGGUCUUCGGAUCGUAAACCUCUGUCAGCAGGGAAGAACGGUCACUGUGCUAAUCAGCAGUGAAUUGACGGUACCUGCAAAGGAAGCACCGGCUAACUCCGUGCCAGCCGCCGCGGUAAUACGGAGGGUGCGAGCGUUAAUCGGAAUUACUGGGCGUAAAGCGCUCGUAGGCGGUAUGUCAAGUCAAGGGUGAAAUCCCCGCGCUCAACGUGGGAACUGCCUUUGAAACUGGCAAACUGGAGUGUGUGAGAGGAUAGUGGAAUUCCAGGUGUAGGAGUGAAAUCCGUAGAUAUCUGGAGGAACAUCAGUGGCGAAGGCGACUAUCUGGCACAUAACUGACGCUGAGGAGCGAAAGCGUGGGUAGCAAACAGGAUUAGAUACCCCUGUAGUC
rnacentral:rRNA from 1 species